UAUGUUAAUGGACACAUACCAUAUAUGUUGAAAAAGUUGGGACAUUUAAGGUAUCUGAGUUUAUCUUCUAAUCUGCUCACUGGUGAAAUUCCUAACUCUUUGUUUCAAAUUCCUGAACUGGAGGAGGUUGACCUGCAAUAAAACAAUCUAACUGGUCACAUCCCAUCCAAUAUUGGCAACACGACUAAACUGUUAGUGUUGAACCUAUCCAAUAAUCUAUUGUCAGGGAUAAUUCCUUCUUCCAUAGGUAACUGCAGUACACUAAAGGCACUAUUUAUGAAUGAUAACAAAUUGACAGGAAUUCUGCCUCAAAGUUUGAACAAUCUCAAGAAUCUUACGUAUUUUGAUGUAAAAAACAAUAGUCUUCAAGGCACCAUCCCUCUUGGCUGUGGAAGUUAUGGCAAAUUAGUUAUUUUGGACCUAUCCUUCAAUAUAUUUAGUAGAGGUAUUCCCUCAGGCUUGGGCAACUAUAGCAAUUUAGCUGAACUUUCUGUUGUGAAGAGCAACUUAGUUGGAAGCAUUCUUUUGUCCUUUGGAUUAUUAUUAAAUAUUUCAAUUCUUUGCCUUCCUGAGAGCUAUUUUUCUGGAAAUAAACCUCCAGAAAUUGGCAAUUACAGAUCUUUGUAGAAGUUACAUCUAUAUUCCAAUCAACUGGGGGGAACAAUUCCAAAUGAAUGGGAGGAUUGACUAAAUUGGAGGACCUUGAAUUGUACUCCAACCAUUUGACAAGUGAAAUUCCACUUAUCGUGGAAGAUGUAAAAUCUUAAGCAUAUCCUUCUUCAGAAUAAUAGCUUUUCAGGGAAAUUACCUUCAGAGCUUGCUAAGCUCAAGCGUCUGGAAAAUAUCUCAUUGUUUGACAAUCAAUUCUCUAGAUCAAUUCCUCAAAGCUUGGGAAUCAAUAGCAGUUUAAUCAAGUUGGACUUGAUGAAUAAUAAGUUCAUUAGUAAUAUCCCUCCAAAUCUUUGUUUUAGAAAGCAACUAUGCAUACUAAGUUUAGGUCGUAAUCAACUUCAAAGGGGCUUACCUCAUGAUUUGGGUAAAUGUGCAACUCUUAGGAGGCUUGUUCUCAACGAAAAUAAUCUUUUUGGGUUUUCUUCCUGAAUUUGAAGGUAAUUAGAAUCUCAUAUAUAGACAUCAGCAAGAAUAAUGUUAGUGGAUCAAUUCCAUCAAGUUUGGGAAACUGCACAAAUCUCACUGCUUUAAUUUUGUCCAUGAAUAACAUUAUAGGGCUUAUACCCUUGAAGCUAGGAAAUCUUGUCAACCUUCAAGUUUUGAAUCUUGCUCACAACAAACUAGAAGGCGCUUUACCAACAAAGCUGUCAUACUAUACUAAAAUGCUAACAUUUGAUGUGGGAUUCAAUUUUCUUAACGGUUCAUUCCCAUCAAGCAUGAGGAGCUGGACAGAGUUAACCAUAUUAAUUUUAAGAGAUAAUCCUUUUAGAGGGGAUAUCCCAUCUUUCUUAUCAGAAUAUGGCUAGCUUCUUAACCUAUAACUUAGAAGAAAUAUGUUUUGGGGGAAAAUUCCUACAUCAAUUGGAUCAUUAUUGAAUCUCUUAUACAAGUUGAAUCUGAGCGUAAAUAAAUUAAUAGGCGAGAUUCCUUUUAAAAUAGGAAAGUUACAAAAGCUGUAAAGGCUGGAUAUAUCCCCAAACAAUUUGACAGGGAGUAUACAUAUUCUUGGUGAACUUUCUUUACUAAUAGCAGUCAAUACAUCAUACAACUCAUUUGUUGGUCCUUUACCAGAAUGGAAAAUGCAACGUCCGAAUUUAUCUCUAUCGUCAUGCUUGGGCAAUGCUGGCCUUUGUGUCUAUUGUUCAACCUUAAAUGGCUCUACUUGCAUAAACUCUAGCCUCUUGAAGCCAUGUGACUCUGAAUCAACUACCCAUAAAGGCAGUAAAUGUUCAAUUUUAUUUAUUGCACCUGGAUUUGUAGGGUUUGUCAUUUGUCUGUCAAGAAUACUCCUAAUUAAUGAUCGUCGCUGUCAUGAAAUAUCUCAAGAUGGCCACCUCUCUAGCAGAAGUUCUAAGGAGGAGGUCUCUACUCAUUAUGGGCAAUAUUUUAUCUGAGUUUGGUCAAACAUCUACACUGAAGGAGAAUGCUGUUUGUAAUGAGUUAGAGGCUUUAUAUUCAAGUGAUAUAGGUGAUUUUAGAAUUAGUGACCUGAUAAAUGAUACUACAGAGAAUCUAAACGAUCAAUAUAUAAUCGGCGAAGGUAGGCAUGUAAUUGUUUAUAAAGCCAAAUUUGAUUUUGGUGUUUUUGUUGUUAAGAAAGUUAAGUUUGCACAGAGCAAGAGGAGGCAAUUAAACAUGGUUAGAGAAGUUGGAAUGUGUGGGAAUAUUGUAUCAUUAUUGUGAAUAAUUAGCAUUCAUUGUCAUUAUGAGGCUUUAUUAGCAUUUAUUAGGUUUUACCUCCCUUGAUGUGUAUAUAUGGCCUUAGUUUGUAAUUAGAAAGCAUAUGAAUGAGAAAUGUACUUUUUCCUUCUCAAAAUAUCACAUGGUAUCAAAGUAUCAAGCUCAAAAAUUUAAAUUAGGUUAGUUCUAGAAUGGCUAGAAUGAGACUUUUUGAACAGUACAUGAGACAAUGGUAGAGCGAGUUUUGAAUCUCAUCGCCACCCUAGAUGUACUCAAGAGGCUCUGAACGACAAAACCUAGGAUCGCGAUGACAAAUGGCAGCGCAUGUGGACCACACGUGCCACCCCUACGAACUACGUCAGCAAGCUUUCGGCGACAUAUAGUGGCUUCAUUUUGGACGUGAUCUUCUCAAACUGUGACGACGCACUCUCUCCGGCCAGAUCUAGUACAAUCCGAUGUAUGGGUACAUCUUUUUUGAACCAUAUCAGGUCGUAUGGUAUUGUUAGUGCCCUAGUUUGCUAAGUUUGGAGUUAUAUUGGGUUGUGGCUUCUAUUUUUAGUCUAUUAUGAAGCCUUUCCCUUAUUUGAAGUGCUAUAUAUACUCUUCUAUAGUGUCGUGACUAAUUUUUCCAGAUUUGCACCUGUAGCAUUAGUGGCAAAAAGGGGUUCCUUUCUUCAAGCUUUAAAGACAACUUGAAGUGCAGUGGUAUGUGUAAUAUCCCAAAAAUUUUAAGACUUGAAUUUAUUGUUUUAAAAAAAUAAAAUAUCUAUAAUUAAAUUAAAAUUUAGAAUAAUUUAAUAGAGGUCCAGGGUUUGAAUUUUUCUUAGCAAAAGUUUGAUUUUAUUUGAUUUUUAACUAUGAAAAAAAUUACCAAAGUUGACCCGGACUUUUAUGCUAUAACAAAAAAUGUUGGGCCCUUUCUUGUAAUUUUUCCCAAACAUUUAGAUUAGCUUUUUUAAGGGGAAAACAGACGCAGAAACGCAGAGAAAGGAAAGGAAAGGAAACGCAUGAGAGGGAGAGAGGAAGAAGAGAAGAGAAAGGGAGGAGUUAGGCUUGGAUCUAAGAGUCUUUGCGACCGUUGCGAGCUCGGCUACACGAUAGGGAUUGUUGGUGGAAUUUGUUCAGAAGUUAAGGAACAAACCAAGUUUUAUUUUGUACAAAAGGAACCCUUUUGGUACCAAAGGGUUAAGGAAAGGUAGACAAGAGUAAAAGGCAUGAUCUCAGUGGGAGUUCACGAAUGAGAAGGUCCAGGCAAAGGAUCCAAUGGUGGACGGGGAAAGGAGUAAAGCUAGGGGUUUGCUUGUGAUUUGUAAAGAACUGCAACCCCUUUCUUUUGAGCAAAUAUAUUGUAAUGUAUUUAGGAUUAGGGUGCCAGUAGGAUAUGAUUAUGUAUGUGUGUGUGAAUAUGUGUGGAUUGUGUGCUUGUAUGAAUUUUUGUCUGUUUAUAGACUUGUGGCUAGGAAACUUGGUUAUGGUGUGUGGUUUUGAUGGAUUUACUUAGUAGACCAAGUUUCUAUUACAA